rfam:Oryza rufipogon genomic scaffold, chr01
AAUAAGCGCAAUUGUGGGCUUCAACGCUCAACUUUAACCAUCCGUCUUAUUUGAAAUAUUUUUAUGAUUAGUAUUUUUGUUGUUAUUAGAUGAUAAAAUAUAAAUAGUACUUUAUACAUGACUUAACUUUUAAAUUUUUUUUAUAAAUUUUUCAAAUAAAACGGACUGUCAAACGUUGGGCACGGAAAUUUAUGGCUGCACUUAUA